CAAUGCUGCCCACCCCCUCCAAUCUCUCUUAAUUACCUUACCCUGUCUCAUUUUCUUUGAAGGUACUUUUCACUAUCUAAAAUUAUCAUAAACACUUUUUCCCAGUAUCUUGGACCCUGUUGUCACCCAACUAGUAUCCGUUUCCAUUUCCCACCUUCUCAAAGGAAGUCUGUUUGGCUAAGGCCCCUCUUGAGCUUACCCUCAAAUUCACAUGUUGAAGUCUUAUUCCCCAGUGCCUCGGAGUGUUCCUGUGUGUGGAGACAGGGUCUUUAAAGAGUAAUUAAGAUAAGGCAUUUAGGGUGGGCACUAAUCCAAAAUGUCUGGUGUCCAUGUAAUAAGGGUUUAGGACAUAAACACACAGGGAAGACCACAGAGAGACGGAGAAGACAGCCAUCUGUGAGCCAAGGAGAAGCCUCAGGGGAAACUAGCCCUGCCAACCCCUUGAUCUUAGACGUCUAGGGCCCAGCAUUGUGAGAGAACCUAUUUUCUGUUGUUUGUAUCACCAGGUGUAUGGUAUUUGUUAUGGCAGCUCUAGCUUACUGAUACACUCCCCAUUUCCAACCUGUAUCCUAGGGGGAGGCAACAACCCACAUCCCAAUCUCCAGGUGUGAGGAGGGGCUGGGGCGGCAACCACUGUGAAUCAUCCUAGGCCAAAGGGUGGUAGAGACCCAGAACAGAGCAGCCGUGAACAGUGUUCCUAGGGUGAUCCUGUGGGUGGAGAGGAGGGAAGGGCUGCCUCCUCACAGCGAGACUGGAACAGUCUCUUUCUUUUCCACCAAUGAGAAUGCUGGAAGCCAUUUUUCUUGACAAGGAGGGAAGCUGGGAGAGGGAAAGACUCCUGGUGAACGGCAAAGCCCAGGAAAACAGAGCUGGGUUCCCAGCUGAAAUCCUCCAGGGUCUCUUCCUGGGUUUCCUGUUAUGUGAGAUAAUGCAGGUGUUAGGGUUUGGAUGUGAGGUGUCCCCAAAAAUCUCACACGUGAGACAGUGCAAGAAGGUUCAGAGGAGAAAUGAUUGGGCCAUGAGAACCUUAAUCCAAUCAGUG
rnacentral:lncRNA from 1 species